AGUGAACGCUGGCGGUGGGCCUAACACAUGCAAGUCGGACGGCAGCACAGUAAGAGCUUGCUCUUACGGGUGGCGAGUGGCGGACGGGUGAGGAAUACAUCGGAAUCUACUUUUUCGUGGGGGAUAACGUAGGGAAACUUACGCUAAUACCGCAUACGACCUACGGGUGAAAGCAGGGGAUCUUCGGACCUUGCGCGAUUGAAUGAGCCGAUGUCGGAUUAGCUAGUUGGCGGGGUAAAGGCCCACCAAGGCGACGAUCCGUAGCUGGUCUGAGAGGAUGAUCAGCCACACUGGAACUGAGACACGGUCCAGACUCCUACGGGAGGCAGCAGUGGGGAAUAUUGGACAAUGGGCGCAAGCCUGAUCCAGCCAUACCGCGUGGGUGAAGAAGGCCUUCGGGUUGUAAAGCCCUUUUGUUGGGAAAGAAAAGCAGCAGGUUAAUACCCCGCUGUUCUGACGGUACCCAAAGAAUAAGCACCGGCUAACUUCGUG
rnacentral:rRNA from 1 species